GGUGGUACUGAAAGAAAAUCUAGUUCUAACAUUAUUUAGGGAUGAGUAUAUACUUCUGCAUGAGGAAUAUCAGCUCUAUGUUCUACCCAGAAUUUUGGAACCAAAGAGGACGGCAAAAUCUGGACACACCAAGCAAAAAUAAGCAGAUUUGGAAUAUAGUGUUGCAAAGCAGGUUGAAAAAAUGAUUAGUGAGUAGGAACUAGAAAAAGCGGACUGUUCUCGUGACGUUAUUCAUAUCACAAUUUUCACCUUCUCUGGGCAGUGGAUCCAUCU